AAUAGAAGCGGUCAGAUCAAAACGUGGUGUGCGGUGGAUGGUGCGUGCCAGUAAAAAUUCUCGACUAAAAAUAGUUUCGCGGGACUAUAUUCAUCCUCAGCAGAUUAAAACAACCACUGAAGGCUCAUACGGCCUAGAUGCAUUUUUCCGCGUGCGAAUCGAGCACCGAAGGAUUGAUGGUAAUAAUACGCGGCAUAUCUAACGAUCGUCCCGUUGAGUUCUUCCUGCAUGUCCUGCCUUAGAACCGAAACAUCAUACGAUACGGACAGCAAUAUUCACUUAGGUCUCGCUCAGCUCGACCUCUCAAGGUCAAAGCACGCCGAAUCGUGAUAAAUUCCACGCAAUACCAUCUAAUAGUGCAUCUGAUAGGUUAGAGCGAAGCAAUAGUUACGACAAAUCAUCAAAAGCCCAUCAUCAGAGGGCUUUUUAUUUACAGUCCAGACCCCUCAUCUUUACCCGAGCGAAGACGAUCUCGCACCAGUAAUAUCGGGCUAGCGGAGCGAGUACGAAGCCGGACGGGCCACCACCACUCACUUUCGUCCACCAAAUUAUUCGUUCUGGUUCAAGCGACAAGGACGAGACGACCACGUUCGGGUGCAAGGAGUCGCACAGCAAGCAAGUACCACGAGUGCGACACAGUCUGCAGCAAGGUGCAACGUGACAGACCGCAGUGCAUUCGUGACGAUGCACGGUGUGAGAGUGUAGCGGCGUGACAAGCAGUGUAGCCGACCAGUCGCGCGACUCAGCAGGUGCAUUAAUCGACGGCAAGAGAUGCAGAGUAGCAGUUGCAACGACACGGGGCCCCCACUGACACCCUAGCGCUGAAGAUGACUAGUCUGUAAAAUCGUGUGAAGCAAAUAAAAAUAAGUUUGAAAUGAUAGAUUGAUGUAUUCUUAAGUAGCUAACGAUACCGUACUGAUUUACCUUACGUGAGCCAUUUCGCUUGUAUGAGACACAGCUUC